AACGAACGCUGGCGGCAGGCCUAACACAUGCAAGUCGAGCGAGAUCUUCGGGUCUAGUGCCCGACGGGUGAGUAACGCGUUGAAAUAUGCCUCACGUUACGGAAUCGCCUCGAUAAACUGGGAGUACUACCGUAUGUACCCUUUAGGGCACAGCUUUAUCGCCAAGAGAUUAGCCCGCGUUGGAUUAGGGGGUUGGUGUGGUAAUCGCCUACCAAGCCGACGAUCCAUUGCUGGGUUGAGAGGAUGAUCAGCCACACUGGGACUGAGACACGGCCCAGACUCGUACGGGAGGGAGCAGUGGGGAAUCUUAGGGAAUGGGGGCAACCGUGAUGUAGCCAUGCGGCGUGAGUGAUGAAGGCCUUAGGAUUGUAAAGCCCGUUCAGAUGGGAAGAUAAUGACGGUACCAGCAGAAGAAGCCCCGGCUAACUCCGUG
rnacentral:rRNA from 1 species